UACGGAAGGGGCGAGCGUUGUUCGGAAUCAUUGGGCGUAAAGGGCGCGUAGGUGGUCUUGUAUGUCUACCGUGAAAGCGUACGGCUCAACCGUAUUUUGUCGGUAGAAACUGCAGGACUUGAGGCUGGGAGGGGCUGGUGGAAUUCCCUGUGUAGCGGUGAAAUGCGUAGAGAUGGGGGAGAACACUCGUGGCGAAGGCGGCCAGCUAGACCAGUUCUGACACUGAGGCGCGACGGCGUGGGGAGCAAACAGG
rnacentral:rRNA from 1 species